CAGCAGCCGCGGGAAAACGUAGGUGGCAAGCGUUGUCCGGAAUUAUUGGGCGUAAAGGGCUCGCAGGCGGUUUCUUAAGUCUGAUGUGAAAGCCCCCGGCUCAACCGGGGAGGGUCAUUGGAAACUGGGAAACUUGAGUGCAGAAGAGGAGAGUGGAAUCCCACGUGUAGCGGUGAAAUGCGUAGAGAUGUGGAGGAACACCAGUGGCGAAGGCGACUCUCUGGUCUGUAACUGACGCUGAGGAGCGAAAGCGUGGGGAGCGAACAGGAUUAGAUACCCCGGUAGUCCCUGUCUCUUAUAA
rnacentral:rRNA from 1 species